rnacentral:lncRNA from 1 species
GUUAAAGACUUUUGAAGCAAAAUUUUGGUGGGGUUGAACACUUUAUAAGAGGGGUUAGAGAGAUUCUAAGGGGGGGGGGGGUUAACCCAUCCUAACCCCCCCCCCAGUAAAUCCGCCCAUGAUUUAAUCCAAAAAUUUUCAUAAUGAAACCUGGUGAGUGGCGACUCAAGUGGUAGGAAAAAGCAUGAGUGUAUGUUGACAGAUGUUUUUAUAUAAUAAAUAGCAAUUAGCUAUGUUUAGCAAGUUAUUAGUGCAUUUAUUUCAAUUGACUAACUUUUUUGGUUUUUUCCAGCAUUUUUAAACAAACCAUAUGUUAUAAAUGAUAUAACUGGGUAUAUCUAAUUAAAACAACCUGUCAUGUACACUCAUACAAAUAAGACUAAGUACAUAAAUAACAACCUCGUACCCAGGGGAGAAAAGACCCUGGUAGAUGCUGGUCACAUGAUCUGCUAAAAUCUAGCAGAUUUUUAAUAAGCAAUCCAAGAUGAGGUCAAUAAAUAUUUGAUAUUUGGAUGAUUUUUAUAUGUUAAUUUAUAAUUUGCAUUUUGUAUAUGAUUGUCAUAAAGGAAUUCAAGAUAGUUAAUUAGAAAUCUGCUAGAUUUUAGCAGAUCACGUGACCAGCAUCUACCGGGGUCUUUUCUCCCCAAGAGGAAGGACUCUGGGUACGAGGUCGCAUAAAUAACUGUAAAAAUGUACUUUAGUAAAUGAAUAAUUUAUCCAUACACUUGAUCUACUUUGUGAGUAUUUUUUCCAAUUAAAAUUGAUGCAACAAUAAAACAAGAAGAUGUCUAUUUAUAUAUUUAUUAAAUUGAUCCGAGAUCCCAACAAUAACAUGCUACUUAGGGAGUGGUCAUUAUUUAUGGGGGGUGGUAAAUGGGAG